GAGUUAAUUUCACCGACGCUUCCGUGUGCGUUCACCCUGACGAAAUGGCCAGCGGCGGCGGACUAGUACUCAACUACGCCCAGGUUUAUUCAAUGGACGAGCUCGGCCUGCCAGACAACUCCAUCAGGUCAGUGUCGCGCGGCUGCUCCAGCGACCGCAUUGUGGGGACCCCGCCCCAGGCUGGCGUUGAGAGGCUCCCAGCCGCGGCGUCACCUGCUAAUUAACGGAUGAAGGCAUUCCUGGCGCUCUGGAACUGUAUGAUGGAAUUUGGCGUUAACUUAGCUGCUAUAUCAUAUUUUCUACUUGAAAGAAGUGAUAAUUAAAAAUAGGGGUAACAAAUAGCAAAUUAAUACUAUACAGAUUUAUUCGACGUGUAAAGAUUUAUUCGACGUGUAACAUACCUAAAAAUAAUAUAAAUAAAAAUUACCCGAAGUGUA